GUUUUCCAAAACAACGAAAGCCCUACCUCUCUUUCGUCCUUGCGACUCCGCCGAUCGCGCCAGCUGAAUUGUAUAUUAUCUAAAAGC
rnacentral:sRNA from 1 species